UUUUCUGCCUUAUGUGAACAAGCCACUGUGACACUAGUUUCUGGUAUUUGGGUUACAAAGGUCUAUAUUGCCAAACAACUCUGUUUUAAAUAUUAUCUUUGCUUCAUAUUCAUACCUGAUAGUCUUCUCUGAGGGUACCAAUCAAAGGUCAAGACCUUUUUCACAACAUCACUGAUCUUCCUUGAAAAUCCAUGGAGAGUGGAUAGAUCAGAUAGUGGAGUGGUAACUGAAGAAAUAAAGAGGAAGUUGCUCAGGACAGAAGAUAAAAACAUGAGACAAAGGAAACAAACUGCUCUUGGAUAGGGUGCUUCUGAGGCUGGGAUUCUUCCCAGGGAAGACCACGCUGCGGAUCUACUGCUGCAUAAGGAGCCAUGCCAAAAGGACCAGAAAAGGCUUUGGAGUUCCUAACUGGUUUGGGACCAGAGACGGGGAGCACUUAACCAGUAAGUAGUGUUAGUUGCUCAGUUGUGUCCAACGCUUUGCGACCCCAUGGACUGUAGCCCACC
rnacentral:lncRNA from 1 species